AGUGCAUUGGUGCCUUCGGGAACUGUGAGACAGGUGCUGCAUGGCUGUCGUCAGCUCGUGUUGUGAAAUGUUGGGUUAAGUCCCGCAACGAGCGCAACCCUUAUCCUUUGUUGCCAGCGGUUCGGCCGGGAACUCAAAGGAGACUGCCAGUGAUAAACUGGAGGAAGGUGGGGAUGACGUCAAGUCAUCAUGGCCCUUACGACCAGGGCUACACACGUGCUACAAUGGCGCAUACAAAGAGAAGCAAUCUCGCGAGAGCUAGCGGACCUCAUAAAGUGCGUCGUAGUCCGGAUUGGAGUCUGCAACUCGACUCCAUGAAGUCGGAAUCGCUAGUAAUCGUGAAUCAGAAUGUCACGGUGAAUACGUUCCCGGGUUG
rnacentral:rRNA from 1 species